UCCUCUGGUCCUCCUGGUGAUGGGAGAGGAAGGGAUUCCUCCUAUUUUCUGCAGCUGUUUACUUAGGCAGCCAUCAAUAAUUCAGGACAUCAGCUCCUUCCUGAAAGCCCAGCUACUUCCCCAGCUCUCCUUAGUCUAUGAGAAUGCCAGAGGCCACAUCUGGGGCGGAGACCCUUCUAUCUCUUCUGAGUAGCAGCAUGCUACCCACAGAAGGCUGGGAUCCCAGCCUCAGACUCCAGCUUCUCACACCAGACCAGGAUCUACUUCCUCCGUGAACUCCAGUUUUACUUGAGAGUAAAAUCCUCCAUGGCCUCUGGGCCUGCUGGCAGCAAUUCAUCAGCUCCCGUUCUGCGGGGCUGUUUUCUCCUGGAGGUUGGACCUCUUUCCCCUGACUGCUUUGCAUCUCGCCUGUUCCUGGCAUUGCCUCUGACAGCUGGACUUAUUGAGAGACCAGGCCCCAGAGGAAAAUGCGAAGCACGGCCCCACCAUGCUCCCUGGCUUGACCUGGACCCAGAGCAAGACAGACACUUCUCCGCGUCGCAUCGGCCUUCCUUUGCCCGGUUAUCUGUAUUUUCUUUGAAAAAUCAUUUCCUCUACUUUACUCAGUUUUCCUUUAAGCCCAGUUGCCUGCUCAGUUCUCUGUCCUUUCUGUUUAUUUCGACUUCUCAUUUUUCCCAUUGAUCAGACGCCCUGGAAAUAUAGCAGGAACACUGUGUUCCUUGUAAUAUUUGGUUACACUUAAUAUUUCUCAGCAAAACGUUAACUUGGAACACCAAGCAGUAAAAAUCCAGGCCUGCUCUGCUUACACUGGACAUCAGCUUCAGCACAGGCUCCGAUUCAUGUCGGAUCUAUUCCAUCCUUAAAGGGGAAUCACGCCCAGGCUGCCGCGGGAAGGUGCCUCAGCCGGCGAGCCGCCAAGCACCCCACAGAAAGCAGUUUCCUCAAAUAAGUGAGCAGCUAUAACACACUUGGUGCCUGGCUGAAUAAAGACAUUACACCCAGUAAAAGUGCCAGAUGAACAUACUGUCAAAUCCCAACACUCCUUAAACAGAACAGUUUUUCCAACCCGGCCUUUGCCAUCAGCGCUGCUAAUGCUAUUUUCUCUGAUGCCACGUUCUGAUUGUGUGCAUCAAACUGAGAACUAAUGACACCCUGUGGGCAGUAGUUCUCAUCUGCCUCUUUGGUGAGUCAAUGAAAGCUAAAUACCCUUUCUCCAGAACUCCACUGCCCACAGGACAGCCUAGUGCGAGCGUCCAGGAGCUCGUGUGGGUGAAACUCAUUCCCC
rnacentral:lncRNA from 1 species